UACGGAGGGGGCUAGCGUUGUCCGGAAUUACUGGGCGUAAAGCGCGUGUAGGCGGGUCUUUAAGUCAGGGGUGAAAUCCUGGAGCUCAACUCCAGAACUGCCUUUGAUACUGAGGAUCUUGAGUUCGGGAGAGGUGAGUGGAACUGCGAGUGUAGAGGUGAAAUUCGUAGAUAUUCGCAAGAACACCAGUGGCGAAGGCGGCUCACUGGCCCGAUACUGACGCUGAGGCACGAAAGC
rnacentral:rRNA from 1 species